UACGGGGGGGGCAAGCGUUGUUCGGAAUUACUGGGCGUAAAGGGCGCGUAGGCGGCCUGUUAAGUCACACGUGAAAUCCCUCGGCUCAACCGGGGAACUGCGUGUGAUACUGGCGGGCUUGAAUUCGGGAGAGGGAUGUGGAAUUCCAGGUGUAGCGGUGAAAUGCGUAGAUAUCGGAAGGAACACCAGUGGCGAAAGCGGCUUCCUGGUCCAGCAUCGACGUUCAGGCACGAAAGCGUGGGGAGCAAACAGG
rnacentral:rRNA from 1 species